CAGGUCCUAUCCCUCCACCACCGCCUCAAGAUGUCCUCACCAUUGUCCUCUUGUCACGGCUGUGCUACGAUUCUCGUCCCUGGAUGGGUCCUGAAGAUCAGUCUGGGUCCCUGAAUUCUCCAGGCUGGAGAUGAGGGGGCCCCGGGAGCCCCAACUGCUCUGCGAUGCCUGGCAGCAGCUACUUUGCAAGGCAAGGGCUGUCUUCUGGAGCUCUGGGCAAAUGGAAGGAGCCGUCCCAUCUGGGAUGUGGAGACUGAGGCAGUCCCUACCCUGUAGCAGGGCUUAGCAUCCCAGCUCUGUGGUUUGGGAGCCAGGGGUCAGGGGUCAUGCCACUCAUCACACAGUGACACAGCGUGGGACAAUGGACACUGUCAGGUGCAUGGAUCUGAGAUGGAGAAACCUGGGCCUCUGUUGGGGAUGGUCCUGCAGCUGGCUCACAGCAAGC
rnacentral:lncRNA from 1 species